AGAGAGAGACAUGCGCGCAUAUCAAUAAGCGGAGGAAAAGAAACUAACAAGGAUUCCCCUAGUAACGGCGAGUGAAGCGGGAAGAGCUCAAAUUUGAAAUCUUAAAGGGUUUCCCUUUACGAAUUGUAGUUUAAAGAAGUGUUUUCUGUUGAGGUUUUGGUAAAAGUUCUUUGGAAUAGGACAUCAUAGAGGGUGAGAAUCCCGUAUUUGACCUUUACUUUCAACUUUGUGAUACACUUUCAAAGAGUCGGAUUGUUUGGGAAUGCAGUCCAAAAUGGGUGGUAAAUUUCAUCUAAAGCUAAAUAUUGGCGAGAGACCGAUAGCGAACAAGUACCGUGAGGGAAAGAUGAAAAGAACUUUGAAAAGAGAGUUAAAACAGUACGUGAAAUUGUCAAAAGGGAAGCGUUUGACACCAGUGUUGUUUUUCUGAAAAUCAAUUAAAGAACUGUUUAUGCUAAGUUGUUUAGACUUUAUCAGCUAACUGUUUAGUUUUGAGCUUUUCUUUAAUGCACUUUUCAGUUAACAAGUCAACAUCAAUUUCUUUUGCUGUAAAAAAGCUUGAGGAAGGUGGCUUGAGAUUCGUCUUAAGUGUUUAUAGCCUCUUGCCUAUGCAGUCGGAGAGAUUGAGGUCUGCAGCGUAGAUCCUUCGGGGCUAAAUGCAUUUGUGCUAAGUUAUAGCAUUUUAUAGACAACUUGUUGACUAUGAUCUGUCAUGUAGCUUACUCGCUUAUGCUAUUUUACCUACGCUUAGGAUGUUGAGCGCAUGUCUCUCUCU
rnacentral:rRNA from 1 species